ACCAGACUCCUACGGGAGGCAGCAGUGGGGAAUAUUGGGCAAUGGGCGCAAGCCUGACCCAGCAACGCCGCGUGAAGGAAGAAGGCUUUCGGGUUGUAAACUUCUUUUCUCAGGGACGAAGCAAGUGACGGUACCUGAGGAAUAAGCCACGGCUAACUACGUGCCAGCAGCCGCGGUAAUACGUAGGUGGCAAGCGUUGUCCGGAUUUACUGGGUGUAAAGGGCGUGCAGCCGGGCUGACAAGUCAGAUGUGAAAUCCCGCGGCUCAACCGCGGAACUGCAUUUGAAACUGUCAGUCUUGAGUACCGGAGAGGUCAUCGGAAUUCCUUGUGUAGCGGUGAAAUGCGUAGAUAUUAGGAGGAACACCAGUGGCGAAGGCGGUCUGCUGGACAGCAACUGACGCUGAGGCGCGAAAGCGUGGGGAGCAAACAGGAUUAGAUACCCGAGUA
rnacentral:rRNA from 1 species